rnacentral:sRNA from 1 species
GUUUAGCCCUGAUUGCAGCGGCAUCCUUUUCUGAAGAAUGAAGAAAAGAUACAGCGGAAAGCAGGUUUCAGC